GGGAAUGUGGCGGAACUGGUAGACGCGCGAGAUUCAAAAUCUCGUUCUUGCAAGAGAGUGGGAGUUCGAUUCUCCCCAUUCCCACCA
rnacentral:tRNA from 1 species